rnacentral:lncRNA from 1 species
AUGGUUGCUGAUGAAGAAGACUUAUUUAGAUGCAACGUUUAAUUAAUUUAACCUCAUUAGUCUUUAUAUAGAAACAGCAGAGUCUUAGGAACUUUAUACACUAGGAAACAAACUUCCUGCCCAGAGAUUGUACAAUCCGAGGACCUUGCUCCUGCAAGUGUAUCUACGUGUCCCCUUGGCCUUCAAGCAGAGCCAGGAAAUACACUGUGAACCCACCUGAGUAAAGUGGUCUGCCUGCAGAGAUCGUUUUGAGCAGCAUGAGAUUUGGUAAAUACAGGAGUCUCAGGAGUUUACCCAUGCAGAAACAAGUAGCCCUGGCCCAUGUAAGUACCCUUGAUAAAGCUUUGCUCUUAUUGAGUAACUCUAUUCAAAGUUCAUUUAUAGUUCAAAAAGCAUUUAAUGGGAGGUUGUUUCAUGGGUGGGCACUAGUUUCAAUUCUGAUUCCAGCAGAUUGGCAAAUGCCAUGUGGACCAGUAUGAACCUGCUGCAUGUGAUCUUUCCCUGGGGCUUCACAGUGAGAUAUAUCCAGAAGAAAAACAGAUUUGUUUGAAGCCUGCACUUUUUAGACUUAGAGGUUCCUGAGAAACAAAAUUCAAGCAGACAGAAGAGACCCUUCAGAGAAGUGGGAGAGCCUGCAUUGGCUUAGUAGGUAAAGCUUGAAAAGGCUGAUCAGCCAUCCAAACGUAGUACUUCUGGACUGCAUGAAGGCUGCUUCUUAACAACAGUUUCCAAAUUGGGAAAAAACAAAAGAUUAUAUGGAUCUCAUGGGCCCUUCUGAUCUUUAUAAAAAUGUGUAGUCUCUGGAGAAUCUCUGUCAAAAAGGUUUGUGAUGCCAUGGUUAAUGGGAGGAUGCAUGUUCACUAAGCUAACUAGUGUUAUGGGAGUGUUAUGGGUCUUCCGUAACACACGGGUCUUCCACACAGCUGAAUUUUCAAGAUGAGUCAGUAUUCCACACUGAGAUUCGGUAUUCCAAUGAUCUCAACAUAUAAAAAGUGCUGAUUAGCUGAAAAUCUGGCAGUAAGUAUUAUGAGAAGCACUGCUGGAUGAUGGACUUUUGAAAGCUGGG